rnacentral:rRNA from 1 species
CCUACGGGGAGCAGCAGUGGGGAAUAUUGGACAAUGGGCGAAAGCCUGAUCCAGCCAUGCCGCGUGUGUGAAGAAGGCCUUCGGGUUGUAAAGCACUUUCAGUGGGGAAGAAAGCCUUGGGGCUAAUACCCUCGAGGAAGGACAUCACCCACAGAAGAAGCACCGGCUAACUCCGUGCCAGCACCGCGGUAAUACGGAGGGUGCGAGCGUUAAUCGGAAUUACUGGGCGUAAAGCGCGCGUAGGCGGUCUGAUAAGCCGGUUGUGAAAGCCCCGGGCUCAACCUGGGAACGGCAUCCGGAACUGUCAGGCUAGAGUGCAGGAGAGGAAGGUAGAAUUCCCGGUGUAGCGGUGAAAUGCGUAGAGAUCGGGAGGAAUACCAGUGGCGAAGGCGGCCUUCUGGACUGACACUGACGCUGAGGUGCGAAAGCGUGGGUAGCAAACAGGAUUAGAUACCCGAGUAGUC